rnacentral:lncRNA from 12 species
AGUUAAUCUACUUAGGCAGAAAAAAAAUAACAUGACUCUUAGCUAAAAUAGUCACAGCAACAUGGGAAAUGUUUUAGCACCUGCUUUGCAGCUCAUGGGACUUUCUUCUGACCUUGCACAGCUUGGAGAUCACGGGAUAGGUGUGUACAAAGGAACUCUGGAUGGAAGGAGUCUAGAAGGGCAAGAAUGCCUGCAAGGACUAAACCCAAAGGACCAGGGCAGCGGAAGCGUCCUGCAACUUAUCCAUCUAAGCUACAGAAGAUGAAGUAGCUCCAGAUUUACUCAACUCCAAGGUGAAGUAUGCUCA